AGAUUGAACGCUGGCGGCAUGCUUUACACAUGCAAGUCGAACGGUAACAGGCCGCAAGGUGCUGACGAGUGGCGAACGGGUGAGUAAUGUAUCGGAACGUGCCCAGUCGUGGGGGAUAACGCAGCGAAAGCUGCGCUAAUACCGCAUACGAUCUAUGGAUGAAAGCGGGGGACCGUAAGGCCUCGCGCGAUUGGAGCGGCCGAUAUCAGAUUAGGUAGUUGGUAGGGGUAAAGGCUACACCAAGCCAACGAUCUGUAGCUGGUCUGAGAGGACGACCAGCCACACGUGGGACUGAGACGACGGCCCAGACUCCGACGGGAGCAGCAGGUGGGAAUUGUGGACUAAGUGGGACGAAGCC
rnacentral:rRNA from 1 species